GGCCCAAUAAAGAGACUUGAGUCAUCAGGUAAAAUAUAUCUCCUUUUAUUUGUAGGUUCAUCACAUCAUCUCUGGAAUACAUCAGGAACAACUGGAACAUGGAGUAGUGUGCCCACCUUUUAUACCUGUGGGCGGGGAUUCAGAAACACCACCUGGAGCUGCUGUGACCACUCUAGGAUAUUGCCCCCAUCCAUCCUCAACUUGGGAAAGUCAACAGGCGGAAGAGCGCAUGCGCGAAAU